rnacentral:rRNA from 1 species
AUAAUACACAAAAACUCGUGUACUACAUCAUCAUCAUCAUCAUCAUCAUCAUCACGCACAUGUGUGUGUGUGUGUGUGUGUGUGUGUAUAGAUGUGAUUGCGUGAUGGUUGUGGUACGACUAGCAAUCGGCUAUGUGUGAUCGCGUACAUCAGCAAAUUUGUUGUUGCUGCUGGUGUGUGCUGUACUCGAUCGAGAUACCCGAUUUUGAUUUGACAUGUAAUGCAUAUAUAUGUGUGUACGUGUGCGCGAUACACAUAUAUGCUGCUGUGAAUUGUCAUGGUGUGUAUGUGAUGUGCAGCGUCGUCGUUUGAAUGACACAAUAACAAGGUUGUUUUGUGUAUGACGACGAAAACACAUACACAUACAUCAUCAUCUACAUACACUAUAAACUGAAAACAAUCAUUAUUUUGACCUCAACUCAGUCGAGAUUACCCGCUGAAUUUAAGCAUAUAAACUAAGCGGAGGAAAAGAAACUAAA